AUUGAACGCUGGCGGCAGGCCUAACACAUGCAAGUCGAACGAGUGGCGGACGGGUGAGUAAUGUCUGGGAAACUGCCUGAUGGAGGGGGAUAACUACUGGAAACGGUAGCUAAUACCGCAUACCAUCAGAUGUGCCCAUAGGGGAUUAGCUAUUUGGUGGGGUAACGGCUCACCAAGGCGACGAUCCCUAGCUGGUCUGAGAGGGUGACGAGACACACUGGGACUGAGACACGGUCCAGACUCCUACGGGAGGCAGCAGUGGGGAAUAUUGCACAAUGGGCGCAAGCCUGACGCAGCCAUGCCGCGUGUGUGAAGAAGGCCUUCGGAUUGUAAAAUACGUUCAGCGGGGAGGCGUUACCCGCAGAGGAAGCACCGGCUAACUCCGUGCCAGCAGCCGCGGUAAUUC
rnacentral:rRNA from 1 species